rnacentral:rRNA from 1 species
GACGUAGGGCGCGAGCGUUGUCCGGAUUUAUUGGGCGUAAAGAGCUCGUAGGCGGCUUGUCGCGUCGUUCGUGAAAAACCUGCAGCUCAACUGCAGGCUUGCGGUCGAUACGGGGCAGGCUGGAGUUCGGUAGGGGAGACUGGAAUUCCUGGUGUAGCGGUGAAAAUGCGCAGAUAUCAGGAGGGAAACACCCGGUGGGCGAAAGGCGGGGUCUCUGGGGCCGAUACU